rnacentral:rRNA from 1 species
GACAGAGGAUGCAAGCGUUAUCCGGAAUGAUUGGGCGUAAAGCGUCUGUAGGUGGCUUUUAAGUCCGCCGUCAAAUCCCAGGCUCAACCCUGGACAGGCGGUGGAAACUACCAAGCUGGAGUACGGUAGGGCAGAGGGAAUUUCCGGUGGAGCGGUGGAAAUGCGUAGAGAUCGGAAAGAACACCAACGGCGAAAGCACUCUGCUGGGCCGACACUGACACUGAGAGACGAAAGCUAGGGGAGCGAAACGGGAUUAGAACCUACCG